rnacentral:misc_RNA from 1 species
UUUCCGUAGGUGAACCUGCGGAAGGAUCAUUAUUGUAUAACCGAGGUGCGAGGGCUGUCGCUGACCCGAAAGGUCGUGCACGCCCGAGUGCCCUCACACACAUCCAUCUCACCCCUAUGUGCACCACCGCGUGGGUCCCCCUUUGGCUUGUUCGGAGGGGGGCUUACGUUUUCACACAAACUCUGUAUGCAGAGUAGAAUGUAUUUUUUGUUUUUGCGAUCACGCAAUCAAUACAACUUUCAACAACGGAUCUCUUGGCUCUC